rnacentral:lncRNA from 1 species
UUCCACUGUGCCACCUAGAAGCCACAGCAGGGACAAUAUCAAAGGGAGGACAUAACUGUGUUUAAUGCCAGCAGCAGAAGAUUAGCACUACCCAGGUAGUGAUGCUGGCCAAUUCACUGGCUAAAGACUGAAUUUGAAAAUGCACGUUAUUUCAGGAUCUAAAAUGGCUUCUCUUCCACAGAUGCUUUCUUUAUACAAACAGUGUAUCCAUGUACUGCAAAACAAUAUUGAUGUGCUCCAUGAAGUUGGUGGCAUCCCCUUUGACAUCCUCGAACCAGUGUUGGAAUGCUUGUACCCGCAAACAAUUGUGAAGAGUAGAGGAUUAUAAUCCGACCUUUAUCAAACUGGCUGAUCAUUUGUGGAAGAGGCAUUGCCAGAGAGAAUUUAAAACCGAGCAGCACCAGGAUGAAGAAUCAUGGCGUGAAAUGUACUUUAGGCUUUUUGGUCAGAGAGAGCAAAACUUGAAGACCCUCACAAAGAGCAUCGUUUUGUCGCAGUCUGAAAAGCCCAAAGGGUGUCAGAUCAAAAUGGCCUAUGUUCAGGGUGUGGCAAAGCCUCCUAGAGAACUCAGGGGUCAUCCAGAGAGCUGCAGUCCAUCUACAAUUCCUUUUAACAGACUCAGCAAAAGAAAGCUUGCAAAUGAAGAGAGAAAUGAUUCAGGAAGUGGUAGUGUGGCAGCAGCAAAUACCAGUUUUUCAGGGGGAUCACAGCAAGAUGCAAAAAGGGUGAAAAAAAUUGCUCCUGUGAUGGCCAAAUCCCUGAAGACAUUUAAGAACCACAUUGGACCGUGGCAGAGCCGAUUCUGAAUGACAGAAGUGCUAAUCUAUGAACUGGAUUAGAAUUUCUAAUCUGGUAGAAAGGGAGUAUAACCUUGUUAAUUUUGUUUGUUCAUGUUAGCCACCUCAAGGAUCAAUACAUAAAAUAUGAUUUAAGCAAAGGAGGUUGCCAGUAGAUAAAAUUUUCUCUUGGACUCUCACAAUGCUACUUUGUAGUAGAGUGAUCAAGAGAUGAGAUAGAGACUAUAAUGAGAUUGUACCAUUUCAUGCUGCAAUUUUUCUGUUGCUAAUAAAUUCUCAAAUUCAUGUGUUCUGACUUCUUAU